CUCCUACGGGAGGCAGCAGUGGGGAAUAUUGGACAAUGGGCGCAAGCCUGAUCCAGCCAUGCCGCGUGUGUGAAGAAGGCCUUCGGGUUGUAAAGCACUUUCAGCGAGGAGGAAGGGUGGUGUGUUAAUAGCACAUCAUUUUGACGUUACUCGCAGAAGARSCACCGGCUAACUCUGUGCCAGCAGCCGCGGUAAUAC
rnacentral:rRNA from 1 species